rnacentral:tRNA from 13 species
UCCCUGUAGCGCAGUGGAUGGCGCGUUGGACUUCUAAUCAAAGGUCCGCUUCGAAUCCGGCGGAUGGAG